CCUUGAAGCGCCAAUUCUCAUACUAUCACCGAAGUUACGGAUCAUCGAGCCUGUUCAGUACUCAGGUGCGUGACUGUUUGGGAAUACCGGGUGCUGUU